CCAGGCAUGGUGGCGGGUGCCUGUAGUCCCAGCUACUCAGGAGGCUGAGGCAGGAGAAUCGCUCCCGGG
rnacentral:SRP_RNA from 14 species